GACAGAGGGGGCAAGCGUUGCUCGGAUUCACUGGGUUUAAAGGGUGCGUAGGAGGGCAGGUAAGUCAGUGGUGAAAUCUCCAAGCUUAACUUGGAAACUGCCGUUGAUACUAUCUGUCUUGAAUAUUGUGGAGGUGAGCGGAAUAUGUCAUGUAGCGGUGAAAUGCUUAGAUAUGACAUAGAACACCAAUUGCGAAGGCAGCUCGCUACACAUAUAUUGACUCUGAGGCACGAAAGCGUGGGGAUCAAACAGG
rnacentral:rRNA from 1 species